UACGAAGGGGGCUAGCGUUGCUCGGAAUCACUGGGCGUAAAGGGUGCGUAGGCGGGUCUUUAAGUCAGGGGUGAAAUCCUGGAGCUCAACUCCAGAACUGCCUUUGAUACUGAAGAUCUUGAGUUCGGGAGAGGCGAGUGGAACUGCGAGUGUAGAGGUGAAAUUCGUAGAUAUUAGGAAGAACACCGGUGGCGAAGGCGGCCCACUGGCUCGACACUGACGCUGAGGUGCGAAAGCGUGGGGAGCAAACAGG
rnacentral:rRNA from 1 species